rnacentral:siRNA from 1 species
AGGGACUCACAAUAGAUACCACCA